rnacentral:rRNA from 1 species
UUGAAGUGUGGACGCCAGUCUGCAUGGAGCCGACCUUGAAAUACCACCCUUUAAUGUUUGAUGUUCUAACGUGGGCCCCUUACCGGGGUUGCGGACAGUGUCUGGUGGGUAGUUUGACUGGGGCGGUCUCCUCCUAAAGAGUAACGGAGGAGCACGAAGGUUGGCUAAUCCUGGUCGGACAUCAGGAGGUUAGUGCAAUGGCAUAAGCCAGCUUGACUGCGAGCGUGACGGCGCGAGCAGGUGCGAAAGCAGGUCAUAGUGAUCCGGUGGUUCUGAAUGGAAGGGCCAUCGCUCAACGGAUAAAAGGUACUCCGGGGAUAACAGGCUGAUACCGCCCAAGAGUUCAUAUCGACGGCGGUGUUUGGCACCUCGAUGUCGGCUCAUCACAUCCUGGGGCUGAAGUAGGUCCCAAGGGUAUGGCUGUUCGCCAUUUAAAGUGGUACGCGAGCUGGGUUUAGAACGUCGUGAGACAGUUCGGUCCCUAUCUGCCGUGGGCGCUGGAGAACUGAGGGGGGCUGCUCCUAGUACGAGAGGACCGGAGUGGACGCAUCACUGGUGUUCGGGUUGUCAUGCCAAUGGCACUGCCCGGUAGCUAAAUGCGGAAGAGAUAAGUGCUGAAAGCAUCUAAGCACGAAACUUGCCCCGAGAUGAGUUCUCCCUGACUCCUUGAGAGUCCUGAAGGAACGUUGAAGACGACGACGUUGAUAGGCCGGGUGUGUAAGCGCAGCGAUGCGUUGAGCUAACCGGUACUAAUGAACCGUGAGGCUUAACCUUACAACGCCGAAG